UACUUAGUGGCAGACGGGUGAGUAACAUGUGGGUAUCUACCCUUUGGCCUGGAAUAACACGAGGAAACUUGUGCUAAUACCGGAUAAGUCUUUACGGAGAAAGCUUUAUGCACCAUUGGAUGAGCCCGCACUUGAUUAGUUUGUUGGUAGGGUAAUGGCCUACCAAGACUAUGAUCAAUAGCUGAUUUGAGAGGAUGAUCAGCCACAUUGGGACUGAGACACGGCCCAAACUCCUACGGGAGGCAGCAGUGGGGAAUCUUGCACAAUGGAGGAAACUCUGAUGCAGCGAUGCCGCGUGAGUGAAGAAGGCCUUUGGGUUGUAAAGCUCUUUCGUCGGGGAAGAAAAUGACUGUACCCGAAUAAGAAGGUCCGGCUAACUUCGUGCCAGCAGCCGCGGUAAUACGAAGGGACCUAGCGUAGUUCGGAAUUACUGGGCUUAAAGAGUUCGUAGGUGGUUGAAAAAGUUGGUGGUGAAAUCCCAGAGCUUAACUCUGGAACUGCCAUCAAAACUUUUCAGCUAGAGUAUGAUAGAGGAAAGCAGAAUUUCUAGUGUAGAGGUGAAAUUCGUAGAUAUUAGAAAGAAUACCAAUUGCGAAGGCAGCUUUCUGGAUCAUUACUGACACUGAGGAACGAAAGCAUGGGUAGCGAAGAGGAUUAGAUACCCUCGUAGUCCAUGCCGUAAACGAUGUGUGUUAGACGUUGGAAAUUUAUUUUCAGUGUCGC
rnacentral:rRNA from 1 species